UUUUGUACUGGUACAGACAACAACUGUAGAAUCUUCCCAUAUUUGAGUGUGAAUGCGUCUCGACGGAUGUUAGUCAACCCAUCUCUGAAUGCAAUGAACUUCUUCACACAUGGUACCUUAGCUUUGAUUUGGAAUGUUUUUUUCUUUUCUGACUCCAUUUGUUCUUGAAUGCUUAAUUAACUGAAAGUUUUGAAAUUCCC
rnacentral:lncRNA from 1 species